rfam:Burkholderia sp. AD24 chromosome I sequence.
GGUCAAGCGAACAAGUGCAUGUGGUGGAUGCCUUGGCGAUCACAGGCGAUGAAGGACGCGGUAGCCUGCGAAAAGCUACGGGGAGCUGGCAAACGAGCUUUGAUCCGUAGAUGUCCGAAUGGGGAAACCCACUCCGAAUGGAGUAUCCAUGACUGAAUACAUAGGUCAUGUGAAGCGAACGCGGUGAACUGAAACAUCUAAGUAACCGCAGGAAAAGAAAUCAACCGAGAUUCCCAGAGUAGUGGCGAGCGAAAUGGGAUCAGCCUGUACUCUUUAUCUUCAUUGUUAGUCGAAGGCUCUGGAAAGUGCCGCCAUAGCAGGUGAUAGCCCUGUAGACGAAAACAGCGAGGAAGAACUAGGUGUACGACAAGUAGGGCGGGACACGUGAAAUCCUGUCUGAAGAUGGGGGGACCAUCCUCCAAGGCUAAAUACUCGUGAUCGACCGAUAGUGAACCAGUACCGUGAGGGAAAGGCGAAAAGAACCCCGGGAGGGGAGUGAAAUAGAUCCUGAAACCGCAUGCAUACAAACAGUAGGAGCCUCGCAAGGGGUGACUGCGUACCUUUUGUAUAAUGGGUCAGCGACUUACAUUCAGUGGCAAGCUUAACCGAUUAGGGCAGGCGUAGCGAAAGCGAGUCCGAACAGGGCGAUUCAGUCGCUGGGUGUAGACCCGAAACCAGGUGAUCUAUCCAUGGCCAGGAUGAAGGUGCGGUAACACGUACUGGAGGUCCGAACCCACUAACGUUGAAAAGUUAGGGGAUGAGCUGUGGAUAGGGGUGAAAGGCUAAACAAACCUGGAAAUAGCUGGUUCUCUCCGAAAACUAUUUAGGUAGUGCCUCGUGUAUCACCUUCGGGGUAGAGCACUGUCAUGGUUGUGGGGUCCAUUGCGGAUUACUACGCCAUAGCAAACUCCGAAUACCGAAGAGUGCAAUCACGGGAGACAGACAUCGGGUGCUAACGUCCGGUGUCAAGAGGGAAACAACCCAGACCGCCAGCUAAGGUCCCCAAAUAUUGCUAAGUGGGAAACGAAGUGGGAAGGCUAAAACAGUCAGGAGGUUGGCUUAGAAGCAGCCAUCCUUUAAAGAAAGCGUAAUAGCUCACUGAUCGAGUCGUCCUGCGCGGAAGAUGUAACGGGGCUAAGCAAUAUACCGAAGCUGCGGAUGCACAUUUAUGUGCAUGGUAGGAGAGCGUUCCGUAAGCCUGCGAAGGUGCACUGGAAAGUGUGCUGGAGGUAUCGGAAGUGCGAAUGCUGACAUGAGUAGCGAUAAAGGGGGUGAAAAGCCCCCUCGCCGUAAGCCCAAGGUUUCCUACGCAACGUUCAUCGGCGUAGGGUGAGUCGGCCCCUAAGGCGAGGCAGAAAUGCGUAGCUGAUGGGAAGCAGGUUAAUAUUCCUGCACCAUUGUUAAAUGCGAUGGGGGGACGGAUCGCGGAAGGUUGUCCGGGUGUUGGAAGUCCCGGUCCUUGCAUUGGAGAAGGCGCUUAGGCAAAUCCGGGCGCGGAAUUCAAGGGUGCGAGGCCAUUCACUUCGGUGAAGAAGCAAUCGGAAGUGGUUCCAAGAAAAGCCUCUAAGCUUCAGUUUAACAAGACCGUACCGCAAACCGACACAGGUGGGCGAGAUGAGUAUUCUAAGGCGCUUGAGAGAACUCGGGAGAAGGAACUCGGCAAAUUGGUACCGUAACUUCGGGAUAAGGUACGCCCCUGUAGCUUGACUGGCUCGCGCCAGAAGGGUGAAGGGGUUGCAAUAAACUGGUGGCUGCGACUGUUUAAUAAAAACACAGCACUCUGCAAACACGAAAGUGGACGUAUAGGGUGUGACGCCUGCCCGGUGCCGGAAGAUUAAAUGAUGGGGUGCAAGCUCUUGAUUGAAGUCCCGGUAAACGGCGGCCGUAACUAUAACGGUCCUAAGGUAGCGAAAUUCCUUGUCGGGUAAGUUCCGACCUGCACGAAUGGCGUAACGAUGGCCACACUGUCUCCUCCCGAGACUCAGCGAAGUUGAAGUGUUUGUGAUGAUGCAAUCUCCCCGCGGCUAGACGGAAAGACCCCAUGAACCUUUACUGUAGCUUUGCAUUGGACUUUGAACCGAUCUGUGUAGGAUAGGUGGGAGGCUAUGAAGCGUGGACGCCAGUCUGCGUGGAGCCGUCCUUGAAAUACCACCCUGGUUUGUUUGAGGUUCUAACCUUGGUCCGUAAUCCGGAUCGGGGACAGUGCAUGGUAGGCAGUUUGACUGGGGCGGUCUCCUCCCAAAGUGUAACGGAGGAGUACGAAGGUACGCUAGGUACGGUCGGAAAUCGUGCUGAUAGUGCAAUGGCAUAAGCGUGCUUAACUGCGAGACCGACAAGUCGAGCAGGUGCGAAAGCAGGUCAUAGUGAUCCGGUGGUUCUGUAUGGAAGGGCCAUCGCUCAACGGAUAAAAGGUACUCUGGGGAUAACAGGCUGAUACCGCCCAAGAGUUCAUAUCGACGGCGGUGUUUGGCACCUCGAUGUCGGCUCAUCUCAUCCUGGGGCUGUAGCCGGUCCCAAGGGUAUGGCUGUUCGCCAUUUAAAGAGGUACGUGAGCUGGGUUUAAAACGUCGUGAGACAGUUUGGUCCCUAUCUGCCGUGGGCGCUGGAUAUUUGAAGGGGGCUGCUCCUAGUACGAGAGGACCGGAGUGGACGAACCUCUGGUGUACCGGUUGUCACGCCAGUGGCAUCGCCGGGUAGCUAUGUUCGGAAGAGAUAACCGCUGAAAGCAUCUAAGCGGGAAACUCGCCUUAAGAUGAGAUAUCCCCGGGGCUUCGAGCCCCUUGAAGGGUCGUUCAAGACCAGGACGUUGAUAGGUCAGGUGUGGAAGCGCAGUAAUGCGUUAAGCUAACUGAUACUAAUUGCCCGUAAGGCUUGAUCCU